ACCUUGGUUAAACACAUCAUUAUAGAGAACCUUAUCCCUCAUACACCAUUUCCUCUGCCAUAAUUUGAAGCAAAUUAAAAUUGAAGACAUUCAUCAAAACCACUGUGAACAGGAAAACUAUUAACAUGAUUGAUCUUAUAAUCUUAUGCAAUCAAAAUCUUGUGAUAGGCAUGAUUAUAGACACAAGCAUUAAUGAAUGGGGAAAGACCUUGCAAUACAAAAACUGUUAAUUAGUUCUGAAAGGGAUAAAAGUGGUAUCUUGUGGCUCUAUAGAUACUGAAGAACAAAAUCUCUCACAAUCUAUCUUCUGCUUGGGACAGAAAAAAGGAAAACUACAUAAAAGCUAUGUUUUGGUCCUCUGUGGGUUUGUCAUUGGUUUUCAUUGGUUUUCUCAGCCCCUGUGAUGUCUCAUUUCAAGUAGCAUCAGAGGAGAUAAUACAAGCAGCAAAUUAAGCAAACAGACGAUGAUCAUUCCGUCAUAAAUACACUGUGACGUGUUGGAAUGGAUGCUUUAAUUUUACCUUUGCACAGAUUUACCCUUCACUCAGAUUGAGGGAGUAUUUUAAUGAGGCUCCUCUCUCCCUUUUUUAUGAUUAUGGAGUGUUUGGCAAGUGGGCUUUAAGAUAAGCAAUACAAGCAGAAAACCCACAUUUGGCGAGAAAAGAUCACAUGUGAUACACAGGAAUCAGUUUUUGUCAUUGCUGGGAGAACGAAAUCCUCUUGGCAUUUUGAGAAGACGCAAACCUCCCCUAUCAGAGAUACAUGGGGAGGAAGAGAUACCCCGGACUACUAACGCAGCCCUGCAGCAGACGGUCUUCAAAACAACCAUGUUAUUCUCGGAACUGAGUAAUUUUCUAAAGUGUGUGAUUUAUCAAGAAGCCAUCAAAGGGCAUAGUGGGAGAUUUGGGGGCAGGUGUCCAUUAGGAAAGGAAUUCCCGAUUCUAUCCAUUCCACUGGCUGUCAUCAACACACAUAGGUGUUCCCAGAUGCUUCACAAAACCUGUCAGAAAACACUGUCUGAGAUCAUAGUUUCAUUCAUUUCAUACUUUAUACAACAGACUUUUAUUUCUCUGUGUUGUAGGCCAGUAAUCAAUCAUGGAUGUACAUACAUAUGAGAGAUGGCUUUUUUAUUGGAUUUCUAAUUUCCAAUACAUUAAUCAUGAUGGAAAAUAAUACUUCUCUUGCUUGUUUUUUUUUCCAAUGAGAAAAAAAGUUAUUUUUCUCUGUGAUAUCAUGGACAUAAAAAUCAAACCAAUUUAAAAGGAAAUUAAUCAGCUGGGAUCAGCAUGCCAUCUCCACGAAGAAGAAGUCGUAAUGAAAUUGGAGGAAGCCAAGGAUCGUAUGUUGAACAGAAAUAAUAAUAAUACUGUAUGGCGUAGAGCUGGGUACACAACAAUUGCCUGCCUCUGUGUUUAUUGACUCUCGGCACAGUGGUGGUGCUGUGUUUACUUUUUUUGUUCCUGCACAAGAUUAUCUUGUUUGUUAACUCAAAAGCCCUAAUUGACAAUAUUGUGUGAUUAUAUACAGUUGCUGGUGGCUCAAUUUUUUGUGGUGGGAAAAUACAUAUUAUUUGCGUUGUGACGACCAACGGCACAGUGUCUGGCAAGUUUGGAAUUGCCUCCCUUGGAAAAUGCUACCAGUGGAUGUCUAAGCAGGUGAGGGAAAUGCAAUUUAUUUGUCAGGGAUUAUGCAGGACUUCAAAAUCUCCAAUUUGAUGGCUAAUGGAUAUAACCUGUGAUGGUUUAGAAGGUCCUAAUUGCUUCUAAUGGGCUUGUGGUGUUGUCGGAGUUCUCAGCUUGUGAGGUUCACACACAAAUGAGGGACAUACGCAUACAACAUGGCAAGUCUAGUCAAAAGAGGGAUUAAAAAGAAACCAGAGAGAGAUGUGAAAGAGUUCUUUGUGGACGAUAGGGAGAUAGAAGGAAAAGCUCAUCUGUCAGUGCCAUUGACUAAAAACUUACAUUGAAAUCAACUUGAUUGGGUGGCAUUCGAACAGGCCCUGGGCCCCUUGGCCCACCCGGGUAUCUUGGAGACAUGAAAGCCUGAAAGGAAAAGAAAUAUACAAUGCAGACGGCUGGAUUAGCUGGACCUCUUGGUGCAUUACAGAUUAAAAUCUUGCAGCAUAUGUGACUCUGGUGCAAGCCAAAGAUGAAAUUUUGCCAUCUGUAUGUUAGAGGAACACAAAACUGGCAAAUCCAUUAGCUGGAUCUGGAAGUGUCCAAUUUUCCAGCUGCACGAAUGUUGUCCUUCAGAGGUCAGAGGUCGGAUCUGUUUCCAUGACAACCAUGUUGCCCUAACCAAUGAUAGGAGACACAACUGCUGGAAACGAUUUGGCUUCAAUUUUGAUUAAAAGGCUUGGAACAGAGAAGCCCCAGCGUGCCAAAGGAUUAAUUAUGUUCUGCUUAGCUGACAAGGCUGACAUGAAUAUUUCAGCAAUUAUCCACAAAACUGAUCACAGAAGACAAAAGCCAUUGAAGAGACAACCACGCAUAGAGGACAUAUUUGGAGAUGGGAAAACAACUCCUUUCUGUAUUUUGGGUGGGAAAGAGAGAGAGACACACAGAUCAGACUAACUUCAACUGAUCCCAAUUCAGACCAGUGAGUGGCUCAUCAACUUUAUUGGCAUGAAGGAGGCUCUGUUCCUAUUCAUCAGGACAACAGUGCUGGCCCCCUCAUCAAAUUCAUCAUGAAAUUUAAUGAAAAGUGCAUUCCUUUGAGACAGCUAGCAGUGUGAUCUCUCUACUUUUUGGAUUAUGCGAACAAGAAAUCAACUUCCUAAUCAUGCACCCUUUUCAAAGGAGAGAAACCACUCCUGGGUUUUAUCUCUGAAGGCAGUUGGGGGAACACCUUGUCUUCUGAAUUCAAUUCUAGGAAUAUAUAUGUGCAAUAUGUCCUGCUACUUUUGGGGGGAUUUUGUGAUUAUGCAAUGGAAAUCUAGCAUGAAAUUCAAUGAGGAAUUUAAUUCAAGCCAGUACAAAGACUGAUAAUUUCAACAGCACUUCAUCACUGAGGCUAAAAAGAGGUAAUAAAAUUUGCCUUGGGACUUCAUAUCAAAGAAAAUCUGGGUCAGAUCAAAGAACCUGGAAAAAACCCUGGUGGCAUUGGCCCCCCAGACAUUCCAUCCUGAGGAUUCAUUUGACCUAAUGGACUAGGUGCUGCUGCAUUCUACAAAGACAAACAAAAAAUAUUCAACAUUUUAGAAUAACAAUAUUUAAUAUUUUUUAUUUUGUAUUUCAAAGUCAUAUGUAGUUCUUUUAGUGCAUUUUACUAUCUUAGAUUGUGUGGGUGUGAGAUAUAAAACAAUGAAUUUCAAAUGUUCCAGUGAUCCUUCAAUGGUACACAGUAAGGCAGUCUUAUAAUGCAAUCACUUUGUGAUUUAUCAUUAUCAACCUUUUUACAUAAAUAUAUUUUUUCACCAUUAAGACAACAGAAAACUUCCUACAGGUAAUGACUGGUGCUAUAUUCUUAUACAAUGACUCAAGUACAAACAAUAAAAUAUUUCUAUCUUAGAGAA